CCGGGAACAGAGGCAGCUGGAGUGGGAGGUUCCCGCACUGUGGCGGGGAAUGGCCAGCACUCUCUCCUAGGAGGGGUCUAUAGAAACUGGGCCGACGCGCGCGCACCAGGGCAGACACCCCCAGCCCUAGUCCGGUGGCUGUAGCCCCCCGCGGCUCUGGAGUGGUGCGCUCGCAGUGUAGGAGGAAUGAAUGGCGGCGUCGCGGGGGGCGCCCUGGGCUGCGGGUGACGCGGGGAAGCUCGGAGCACCUGAGGACGCGGAGCGCGCCAGUGUGUGCCCCGAGGGAGUGCGGUAGAGAUGGAGGGUGCCCCCCGCCCUCGUUGCUUUGGACCACGGUCUCCGGGAUGAGGGCCACAGCUGGAGGUGGAGGCCCAGCCUGGAGUGAGAGGAGCCCUGAAACUGGAAGGACAAUAAAGGCGGAAGACUGGGGUCACUGGAAGAGAGUCCAGAAAAUUCCACAUACACUGGAAGUUGUCCAGUAAUGGGUUCCAAUCCUGACUCCCACUUUCUCAGUGACCUUGAACUGAAGGACCCAUAAUCAUGGUUUUAAAAAAUUAAUUCGUUUGUACUUAAAACAUUUUAGGAGGCCGGGCUCAGUGGCUCACGCCUGCAAUACCAGCACUUUGGGAGGCCGAGGUGGGUGGAUCACCUGAGGUCAGGAGUUUGAGACCAGCCUGAUCAACAUGGCAAAACCCUGUCUCUACUAAAAAUACAAAAAAAAUUAGCCAGGUGUGGCACACACCUGCAGUCCCAGCUACUUGGGAGGCUGAGGCACAAGAACCGCUUGACCUAGGGUGGCAAAGGUGGCAGUUGGCGGACAUUGGGCCAUUGCACUCCAGCCUGGGUGACAAAGCGAGGCGAGACUCCGUCUCAAUAAAAGAAAGAGAGAGAGAGAGAGAGAGAGAGAGAGAGAGAGAGAGAGAGAGAGAGAAAGGAAGGAAGGAAGGAAAAAAAUUUUAGGAAAAUUAAGAAAAUCACAUAACAUCUUUUUUUUUUUUUUUUUUUUUGACACGGAGUCUUGCUCCGUUGCCCAGGCUGGAGUGCAAUGGCGCGAUCUUGGCUCACCAUAACCUCUACCUCCCAGGUUCAAGCGAUUCUCCUGCCUCAGCCUCC
rnacentral:lncRNA from 10 species